CAAACGGGUGCGUAACGCGUAAAUAACCUGCCCCAGACUGGGGGAUAGCCCGGCGAAAGCUGGGGUAAACCCGCAUAGACUGCUUACCUGGCAUCAGGUUGAGUUGUAAAGGCUUCGGCUGGUCUGGGAGGGAUUUGCGUCUGAUUAGCUAGUUGGGGGGUAGAGGCCCACCAAGGCGAUGAUCAGUCGGGGCUCUGAGAGGAGGGUCCCCCACAUGGGCACUGAGACACGGGCCCA
rnacentral:rRNA from 1 species